rnacentral:rRNA from 1 species
CAAUACGAGAGUAUCCUAGUGGCGAACGGGUGAGUAACGCGUUGGUGACCUACCCCAAAGUGUGGGAUAACAGUCCGAAAGGACUGCUAAUACCGCAUGUGGUCAUCGGGUUUAGAAGCCGAUGACUAAAGCAGUAAUGCGCUUUGGGAAGGACCUGCGUCCCAUCAGCUAGUUGGUGAGGUAAUGGCCCACCAAGGCUACGACGGGUAGGGGACCUGAGAGGGUGGUCCCCCACACUGGCACUGAAACACGGGCCAGACACCUACGGGUGGCAGCAGUAGGGAAUAUUGGGCAAUGGGCGAAAGCCUGACCCAGCAACGCCGCGUGCACGAUGAAGGUCUUCGGAUCGUAAAGUGCUUUUCUGAGAGAUGAGAAAGGACAGUAUCUCAGGAAUAAGUCUCGGCUAACUACGUGCCAGCAGCCGCGGUAAAACGUAGGAGGCGAGCGUUAUCCGGAUUUACUGGGCGUAAAGCGCGUGCAGGUGGUUUGGUAAGUUGGAUGUGAAAGCUCCUGGCUCAACUGGGAGAGGUCGUUCAAUACUACCAGACUUGAGAGCAGUAGAGGGAGGUGGAAUUCCCGGUGUAGUGGUGAAAUGCGUAGAUAUCGGAAGGAACACCAGUGG